rnacentral:rRNA from 1 species
CCACCACUAAGCCAGUGGUGAACUCCACAUACGCAUCCUUUGCUGAGGAUGCGGUUAACGGAGCGAAAGCGACGUUCAACCGCAAAAGAAGCAGAGGGGGCUUAGUGGUGGGGUGACUGCGUACCUUUUGUAUAAUGGGUCAGCGACUUAUAUUCUGUAGCAAGGUUAACCGAAUAGGGGAGCCGGAGGGAAACCGAGUCUUAAUUGGGCGUUAAGUUGCAGGGUAUAGACCCGAAACCCGGUGAUCUAGCCAUGGGCAGGUUGAAGGUUGGGUAACACUAACUGGAGGACCGAACCGACUAAUGUUGAAAAAUUAGCGGAUGACCUGUGGCUGGGGGUGAAAGGCCAAUCAAACCGGGAGAUAGCUGGUUCUCCCCGAAAGCUAUUUAGGUAGCGCCUCGUGAAUUCAUCUCCGGGGGUAGAGCACUGUUUCGGCUAGGGGGCCAUCCCGGCUUACCAACCCGAUGCAAACUGCGAAUACCGGAGAAUGUUAUCACGGGAGACACACGGCGGGUGCUAACGUCCGUCGUGAAGAGGGAAACAACCCAGACCGCCAGCUAAGGUCCCAAAGUCAUGGUUAAGUGGGAAACGAUGUGGGAAGGCCCAGACAGCCAGGAUGUUGGCUUAGAAGCAGCCAUCAUUUAAAGAAAGCGUAAUAGCUCACUGGUCGAGUCGGCCUGCGCGGAAGAUGUAACGGGGCUAAACCAU